rnacentral:rRNA from 1 species
CGCGUAGGUGGUAGUGUAAGUCUGGGGUGGAAUCCCAGGGCUUAACCCUGGAACUGCCUUGGAAACUGUAUUACUUGAGUCAGUGAGGGGAGGGUAGAAUUCCUGGUGUAGCGGUGAAAUGCGUAGAUAUCAGGAGGAAGGCCUGUGGCGAAGGCGGCCCUCUGGCGCUGGACUGACACUGAGGCGCGAAAGCGUGGGGAGCAAACAGGAUUAGAUACCCUGGUAGUCCACGCCCUAAACGGUGGGCACUAGGUGUAGGGCUCGUAAGGGUUCUGUGCCGAAGGGAACCAUUAAGUGCCCCCGCUGGGGGAGUACGGGCCGCGAAGGUUGAA